GUUGAUACCUAGAACACUGGCAGCAACGCAUACCAACCAUUAGCACCAGUCAAUGAUAUUUGUGAUGCAUUUUUGAAUGUUCAGUUGACUGAGUUUCAUGUUUAAUGAAGAAAAGUUAAUAAUAAUAGUAAUAAUAAUAAUAGUGAUAAUAAUAGUA